AUACUUACCUGGACGGGGUCGACGGGCGAUCAAGAAAGCCCGUGGCCUUGGUCAGUGGCUCGCAUUGCACUUUGCAGGUGCGCUGGCUUACCAUCUCCCCAAGCGGGAGAGUGGACGUCAUAAUUUGUGACAGAGGGGGUACGCGUUCGCGCGGCCCCUG
rnacentral:snRNA from 1 species